GACGAACGCUGGCGGCGUGCUUAACACAUGCAAGUCGAACGGAAAGGCCCUGCUUUUGUGGGGUGCUCGAGUGGCGAACGGGUGAGUAACACGUGAGUAACCUGCCCUUGACUUUGGGAUAACUUCAGGAAACUGGGGCUAAUACCGGAUAGGAGCUCCUGCUGCAUGGUGGGGGUUGGAAAGUUUCGGCGGUUGGGGAUGGACUCGCGGCUUAUCAGCUUGUUGGUGGGGUAGUGGCUUACCAAGGCUUUGACGGGUAGCCGGCCUGAGAGGGUGACCGGCCACAUUGGGACUGAGAUACGGCCCAGAAGCCUACGGGAGGCAGCAGUGGGGAAUUUUGCACAAUGGGCGGAAGCCUGAUGCAGCAACGCCGCGUGCGGGAUGACGGCCUUCGGGUUGUAAACCGCUUUCGCCUGUGACGAAGCGUGAGUGACGGUAAUGGGUAAAGAAGCACCGGCUAACUACGUG
rnacentral:rRNA from 1 species